UACGUAGGGGGCAAGCGUUGUUCGGAAUUACUGGGCGUAAAGCGCGUGUAGGCGGCCCGGUAAGUCCGCUGUGAAAGUCCAGGGCUCAACCCUGGGAUGCCGGUGGAUACUGUCGGGCUAGAGUGUUGCAGGGGAGACUGGAAUUCCUGGUGUAGCGGUGAAAUGCGCAGAUAUCAGGAGGAACACCGGUGGCGAAGGCGGGUCUCUGGGCAACAACUGACGCUGGAGGAGCGAAAGCGUGGGGAGCGAACAGG
rnacentral:rRNA from 1 species